CCUGCUUUUAUUAUUUUGCAUACUGUUUAUUUGAAUAUAUAUAUUUUUUAAAAAGAAUAUAUAUAUUUUCAGAUCUGAUCAGCCAGCCUACAGUGUCUCCCCCAACCCAAAUCACCAUGUCUUGAAUUUUGGGUAGUUUAAGUGACUCCUUCCUUUGCCUGUUAAUUUUAUCCAGACAAGGGAUGUAACUUGGUCUGAAAGCUCUAACAUAUAUAAGGCUCUGGGUUCAACUCCAGCCCCCCUCCCCCCACCUCACAUACACACACAAAUAAAAAAAAGUAUGCCCAGUUUAGUUUUCUUAAUAGAAUAAACAGUGUUUUGUCUUUUUGUUUUUUGAGACAGGAUCUAACUAUGUAGACCUGUCUGGCCUGGAUCUCACUAUAUAGAAAGACCAUGCUGCCCUCUAACUCACAGACUUCCCCCUCUCACGUGCUAGGAUUAAAUGCAUGCAUACCAUUCCCAGUUUAAACUUUUUUUUUUUUUUUUUUUUUUUUUUUUUUUUUUUUUUUUUUUUUUCAGGCAGGGCUACACAGAGAAAACCCUGUCUC
rnacentral:lncRNA from 1 species